AAAACAAACAGCCCUGAAGCCUGCUCACCUCUUCCUCGUGGGCUGCAGCUAAGCUUUCAGCAGGGCCUGAACGGCAUCCAGGAUCGCUGACGGCCUUGCUGAGGGAGGCCAGGCACCUUGGUAGCAGAGUCAGAAGCAAAGCCUAGUUCUGAUUGCAACACAUCCAUUCCGACUUGCAUCACCUGUGCCUGUGGACCCUAUACAAAUUCCCGGAGCACAGGAGAUGGUUAGAACAGCGCUGGGCAGGGAAAUUUGGCACAAAGUGACUGAAGCAACAGCAAACAGCAAAAACCUGUCCAUAGGCCUGUGCUAUCUUCAUGACAAUGCUACAGAAUGCCUCACUCCCUACUCUGAGCUAAAACAAUGCUUCAGCAACCCACCUGAGACUCCCAGGCAGCCUAUUUAUCAAAAGGAGUUAAAGUCCCCCAUUCGGAGUAACUGCUUCGGAGGAAUUU